CCCAGGAAAGACCUUCUGGAUUCGUUCAGCUCUUCAGAGGGGACUGUGACUACUUCUUCUGGAGCUGUUCAGCUUUGCUCCAGUCCAAAACACCUGAACAUUGCCAGGAGCCCCACGCCGUGGCCCAGCGGGGGGAAGGCUUCAGGGAUACCACAUUCUGGCUCCAGACCUUAGGAGAAGCUGAGCAGGACUCUAAAAAUCCACCAUCUUUCUCCACAAUGAUAAGGAGUCAAAUGAAUUGGAAGAAAUCCCAUAGGAGGUAGAGAAUGCUGUGACCCUGUUGGUAUGGGCAAGUGAAAUGCCCAGAUGAUCAAAAGCGGCCAAAUCAGAGAGGAUUACUCCAAAACCUGAAGCUAAACUGAUUCCGACAAACGGCGUCCCUGGAUCGGCAAACAGAAAGGGCAAGAAGUCAAUCCAUCAAACGACCUCCAACCUUCACUGGAAAAAGGCACACACACUCUCCGAGGACUCCACAGAGAGAGGGAGCGGAAAGCUUGAGACAAAACAUCCUGACCUUCACCAAGACAGCUCCUCUGGAGGGCAGCCAGGAGGAGAAAAACCAGAAGUGAGCCUGGGAUUUCUCGCCUCUGACCUGCUGGAUGAUGGACAGUGCCAUCUCCGGACUGACCUCGUGCUGACUCAACUUUUGAGGACGAGACUGGACUGGGCUGUGGGAAGCAGGAGCAAAG